GUGCAAACUCGAUCACUAGCUCUGCGUGAUGUGGCAGACGCUAAGGGAACCAGGUUUGCUAAAGUAAUUUUGGUGAUAGAAAUAUGUAGUUAGCCUCAAGCUAUUGAGGUGGCCCAUUCUAUCCUGUACAGUA
ensembl:snoRNA SNORA66 Small nucleolar RNA SNORA66